rnacentral:rRNA from 1 species
GAUUAAGUUAUUAAGGGCGCACGGUGGAUGCCUUGGCACUAGAAGCCGAUGAAGGACGUUACUAACGACGAUAUGCUUUGGGGAGCUGUAAGUAAGCUUUGAUCCAGAGAUUUCCGAAUGGGGAAACCCAGCAUGAGUUAUGUCAUGUUAUCGAUAUGUGAAUACAUAGCAUAUCAGAAGGCACACCCGGAGAACUGAAACAUCUUAGUACCCGGAGGAAGAGAAAGAAAAUUCGAUUCCCUUAGUAGCGGCGAGCGAAAUGGGAAGAGCCCAAACCAACAAGCUUGCUUGUUGGGGUUGUAGGACACUCUAUACGGAGUUACAAAGGACGACAUUAGACGAAUCAUCUGGAAAGAUGAAUCAAAGAAGGUAAUAAUCCUGUAGUCGAAAAUGUUGUCUCUCUUGAGUGGAUCCUGAGUACGACGGAGCACGUGAAAUUCCGUCGGAAUCUGGGAGGACCAUCUCCUAAGGCUAAAUACUCUCUAGUGACCGAUAGUGAACCAGUACCGUGAGGGAAAGGUGAAAAGCACCCCGGAAGGGGAGUGAAAUAGAACCUGAAACCGUGUGCUUACAAGUAGUCAGAGCCCGUUAAUGGGUGAUGGCGUGCCUUUUGUAGAAUGAACCGGCGAGUUACGAUUUGAUGCAAGGUUAAGCAGUAAAUGUGGAGCCGUAGCGAAAGCGAGUCUGAAUAGGGCGUUUAGUAUUUGGUCGUAGACCCGAAACCAGGUGAUCUACCCUUGGUCAGGUUGAAGUUCAGGUAACACUGAAUGGAGGACCGAACCGACUUACGUUGAAAAGUGAGCGGAUGAACUGAGGGUAGCGGAGAAAUUCCAAUCGAACCUGGAGAUAGCUGGUUCUCUCCGAAAUAGCUUUAGGGCUAGCCUCAAGUGAUGAUUAUUGGAGGUAGAGCACUGUUUGGACGAGGGGCCCCUCUCGGGUUACCGAAUUCAGACAAACUCCGAAUGCCAAUUAAUUUAACUUGGGAGUCAGAACAUGGGUGAUAAGGUCCGUGUUCGAAAGGGAAACAGCCCAGGCCACCAGCUAAGGUCCCAAAAUAUAUGUUAAGUGGAAAAGGAUGUGGCGUUGCCCAGACAACUAGGAUGUUGGCUUAGAAGCAGCCAUCAUUUAAAGAGUGCGUAAUAGCUCACUAGUCGAGUGACACUGCGCCGAAAAUGUACCGGGGCUAAACAUAUUACCGAAGCUGUGGAUUGUCCUUUGGACAAUGGUAGGAGAGCGUUCUAAGGGCGUUGAAGCAUGAUCGUAAGGACAUGUGGAGCGCUUAGAAGUGAGAAUGCCGGUGUGAGUAGCGAAAGACGGGUGAGAAUCCCGUCCACCGAUUGACUAAGGUUUCCAGAGGAAGGCUCGUCCGCUCUGGGUUAGUCGGGUCCUAAGCUGAGGCCGACAGGCGUAGGCGAUGGAUAACAGGUUGAUAUUCCUGUACCACCUAUAAUCGUUUUAAUCGAUGGGGGGACGCAGUAGGAUAGGCGAAGCGUGCGAUUGGAUUGCACGUCUAAGCAGUAAGGCUGAGUAUUAGGCAAAUCCGGUACUCGUUAAGGCUGAGCUGUGAUGGGGAGAAGACAUUGUGUCUUCGAGUCGUUGAUUUCACACUGCCGAGAAAAGCCUCUAGAUAGAAAAUAGGUGCCCGUACCGCAAACCGACACAGGUAGUCAAGAUGAGAAUUCUAAGGUGAGCGAGCGAACUCUCGUUAAGGAACUCGGCAAAAUGACCCCGUAACUUCGGGAGAAGGGGUGCUCUUUAGGGUUAACGCCCAGAAGAGCCGCAGUGAAUAGGCCCAAGCGACUGUUUAUCAAAAACACAGGUCUCUGCUAAACCGUAAGGUGAUGUAUAGGGGCUGACGCCUGCCCGGUGCUGGAAGGUUAAGAGGAGUGGUUAGCUUCUGCGAAGCUACGAAUCGAAGCCCCAGUAAACGGCGGCCGUAACUAUAACGGUCCUAAGGUAGCGAAAUUCCUUGUCGGGUAAGUUCCGACCCGCACGAAAGGCGUAACGAUUUGGGCACUGUCUCAACGAGAGACUCGGUGAAAUCAUAGUACCUGUGAAGAUGCAGGUUACCCGCGACAGGACGGAAAGACCCCGUGGAGCUUUACUGUAGCCUGAUAUUGAAAUUCGGCACAGCUUGUACAGGAUAGGUAGGAGCCUUUGAAACGUGAGCGCUAGCUUACGUGGAGGCGCUGGUGGGAUACUACCCUAGCUGUGUUGGCUUUCUAACCCGCACCACUUAUCGUGGUGGGAGACAGUGUCAGGCGGGCAGUUUGACUGGGGCGGUCGCCUCCUAAAAGGUAACGGAGGCGCUCAAAGGUUCCCUCAGAAUGGUUGGAAAUCAUUCAUAGAGUGUAAAGGCAUAAGGGAGCUUGACUGCGAGACCUACAAGUCGAGCAGGGUCGAAAGACGGACUUAGUGAUCCGGUGGUUCCGCAUGGAAGGGCCAUCGCUCAACGGAUAAAAGCUACCCCGGGGAUAACAGGCUUAUCUCCCCCAAGAGUUCACAUCGACGGGGAGGUUUGGCACCUCGAUGUCGGCUCAUCGCAUCCUGGGGCUGUAGUCGGUCCCAAGGGUUGGGCUGUUCGCCCAUUAAAGCGGUACGCGAGCUGGGUUCAGAACGUCGUGAGACAGUUCGGUCCCUAUCCGUCGUGGGCGUAGGAAAUUUGAGAGGAGCUGUCCUUAGUACGAGAGGACCGGGAUGGACAUACCUCUGGUGUACCAGUUGUCGUGCCAACGGCAUAGCUGGGUAGCUAUGUGUGGACGGGAUAAGUGCUGAAAGCAUCUAAGCAUGAAGCCCCCCUCAAGAUGAGAUUUCCCAACUUCGGUUAUAAGAUCCCUCAAAGAUGAUGAGGUUAAUAGGUUCGAGGUGGAAGCAUGGUGACAUGUGGAGCUGACGAAUACUAAUCGAUCGAAGACUUAAUCAA